CCCUAAUUUCACCCGUGGGGUACCCCUCAAGCCUCUUCUCUUUUCUCCCGCAGGAAGCUACGUCGACUAUUUCUCCUCCUCCCUGUACCAGUAAGUGUGUGUGGGGGGGGGGGGGCAAUUUAAGGGCCCUGUUUAGAAAGGCACUGACCCCUGAGUUAUGGACUACCCUGGGACUCCAUUUCCCUGUCGGUAAAAUGGGCAGAUUAGCGAUCUCUAGCUAAGUGCCCGGGGUGAGCUUUGAACACUUCGGCUGUCUAACCCCUGCACCCCCCUCGCCAGAGCCCUGGCGGACAUGCUGGAAACUCCGGAACCCUGACCCGGCGGCGCGGCUGCGGCGCAGACGCACCUCCCUCGCCCUCCAACCCCUGCCCACGAGCCAUAUUUAUUGAACUGAAUAUGAAUAAACAUGUUCCCCGAAACCUCAU
rnacentral:lncRNA from 1 species